rnacentral:rRNA from 1 species
AGUUACCAGCACUUCGGGUGGGGACUCUAGAGAUACUGACCCCGGUCAACGGGGAGGAAGUGGGGAUGACGUCAAGUCCUCAUGGCCUUUAUGCCUAGGGCUACACACGUGCUACAAUGGGCGGUACAAAGGGUCGCGAUCCCGCGAGGGGGGAGCCAAUCCCAAAAAGCCGUCCCAAGUUCGGAUUGGAGUCUGCAACUCGACUCCAUGAAGCUGGAAUCGCUAGUAAUCGCGGAUCAGCAUGCCGCGGUGAAUACGUUCCCGGGCCUU